AGUGAACGCUGGCGGUAGGCCUAACACAUGCAAGUCGAACGGCAGCACAGUAAGAGCUUGCUCUUACGGGUGGCGAGUGGCGGACGGGUGAGGAAUACAUCGGAAUCUACUUUUUCGUGGGGGAUAACGUAGGGAAACUUACGCUAAUACCUCAUACGACCUACGGGUGAAAUCAGGGGAUCUUCGGACCUUGCGCGAUUGAAUGAGCCGAUGUCGGAUUAGCUAGUUGGCGGGGUAAAGGCCCACCAAGGCAACGAUCCGUAGCUGGUCUGAGAGGAUGAUCAGCCACACUGGAACUGAGACACGGUCCAGACUCCUACGGGAGGCAGCAGUGGGGAAUAUUGGACAAUGGGCGCAAGCCUGAUCCAGCCAUACCGCGUGGGUGAAGAAGGCCUUCGGGUUGUAAAGCCCUUUUGUUGGGAAAGAAAAGCAGCAGGUUAAUACCCCGCUGUUCUGACGGUACCCAAAGAAUAAGCACCGGCUAACUUCGUG
rnacentral:rRNA from 1 species